ensembl:snoRNA
AUCCUUUUGUAGUUGAUAAGUGUGAUGAUUAGGUGUGAGAUGUGCCUUCCUUAAACCUUGUUACAAACCUUGUUAGCACAUUACCUGUCUAAUG